AGAGAGAGAGAGAGAGAGAGAAAGAGAGACAGAGAGAGAGAGAGAGAGAGAGGGAGAGAGAGAGAGAUGGAGAGAAAGAGGGGCAGAGAUGCUUGCAAGGAAUUUUGAGAGUGUGUGCAAGAGAGUGAGCCCCUGCUGAUCUUUACAAGGACACCAGGGCCUGACCAAGCCAUGACCUCUAGGUCAUAGUUCAAAGAUCAUCUCCUCUCUUCUAAAUUCAUUGAAUUCCUCUUGGACACAGUGCAACCCCCUUGAAGUCUAAACUAAGAUCAAGAUUGAGUCCCAAAUGGCAGCCUAUUCCCCGCACGGUGCACUACUUUUGACCAGUCUCAUAGUAAAAGUAGUGCACUAAAUAGGGAACAGAGUGCCAUUGGGGACGCAUACCAACAGCCUACACAAGGAUUGACAUUCCUCUGCACUCAUCUCAUUACCUUCCUCUAUCCUUCAGUCUAUUCUGGGCUAGUUAAUGUGGUUGGCCAUGUUCCCACCGAUUUUACCUUAAAGGGACAUUUCACCACUGCUCUAUAUCACUGUAUAUCACCCUUAUCAUGGUAUUAAAAUAGGUGUAAUAUUUUUUUUUUUAAAGGCAUUUCUUCCCAACACGCAAAUACAAGCAUUUCUGCAUCUCACCGGUAGAAACGGGCCAUCUACAUUUCCUGGUUUAAAGCAAACCAGAAUAUUCUGAAUUCAUCGGUAUUUCAGGACGUAGUGCCGCCCCGUGGACGUGUAUCCAGUUGACGUGAGAAAUAUUUGUUAAAAAUGUUCGUAGCUUUCAGCCGGUGGAUUUCUAAACGGACCUGAAGUCUCAAAUUGAUGGGGUUGCCAUGUCGUCGAACUUCGGAAAGUGAUGCUAUUCCAUCCAUUCUCCCCUUCACGUCAAAGAGGAAGGCAUCCGAUCAGCCAACAUCAGAUCAGCAGGAAAGAAGUCGAGCUGAGAGUCUGAUCCCAUGAACAUCUGCCGAGGCGUCAACAUCAAGCUCAGUAUAGGGAACUUAGUACUAAUCCUGCUACUGACCUGGACACCAGCUUCAGUUGUACAGAGCCUGUAGACACAUUGGAUGAAAGCUUUCACCCUGGAAGGAACUCAAGAUCAACAUCAUGUGACUUUGAAAUUAGCCAGGACAGCCAAAUGUAUUUAUGAAAGCACAAUCCCCUCUUGAGAAAACAAAAUCACUAAAACACACAAGCCAAGUGUUUCUUCAAACUUGUCACACCCAUGUAGCCAGUUGUUUGGCAUGAGGGAGAGAGGCUGUUAGUGGGCUUUUCUAGCCUCACCCAUGUAGCCAGUUGUUUGGCAUGAGGGAGAGAGGCUGUUAGUGUGCUUUUCUAGCCUCACCCAUGUAGCCAGUUGUUUGGCAUGAGGGAGAGAGGCUGUUAGUGGGCUUUUCUAGCCUCACCCAUGUAGCCAGUUGUUUGGCAUGAGGGAGAGAGGCUGUUAGUGUGCUCUUCUAGCCUCACCCAUGUAGCCAGUUGUUUGGCAUGAGGGAGAGAGGCUGUUAGUGGGCUUUUCUAGCCUAUCCACUAUGCUGUUGGCAGUGUUCUCCUCAACAGCACAACUGUAGGCGCUCAUACACAAAAA